GACAGAGGGUGCAAACGUUGCUCGGAAUUACUGGGCGUAAAGCGUGUGUAGGCGGUCUGCUAAGUCGGGUGUGAAAGCCCUGGGCUCAACCCAGGAAGUGCACUCGAAACUGGCAGGCUAGAGUACUGGAGAGGUUGGUGGAAUUCUCGGUGUAGAGGUGAAAUUCGUAGAUAUCGAGAGGAACACCGGUGGCGAAGGCGGCCAAACUGGACAGAUACUGACGCUGAGACACGAAAAGCGUGGGGGAGCAAAACAGGG
rnacentral:rRNA from 1 species